rnacentral:rRNA from 1 species
AACGAACGCUGGCGGCAUGCCUAACACAUGCAAGUCGAACGAGAUCUUCGGGUCUAGUGGCGCACGGGUGCGUAACGCGUGGGAAUCUGCCCUUUGGUUCGGGAUAACAGCUGGAAACGACUGCUAAUACCGGAUGAUGACGAAAGUCCAAAGAUUUAUCGCCAGAGGAUGAGCCCGCGUAGGAUUAGCUAGUUGGUGGGGUCAAGGCGCACCAAGGCGACGAUCCUUAGCUGGUCUGAGAGGAUGAUCAGCCACACUGGGACUGAGAGACGGCCCGGACUCCUACGGGAGGCAGCGGUGGAGAAUAUUGUACAAUGGGCGAAAGCCUGAUCCAGCACUGCCGCGUGAGUGAUGAAGGCCGUAGGGUUGUAAAGCUCUUUUACCCGGGAUGAUAAUGACAGUACCGAGAGAAUAAGCUCCGGCUACCUCCGUGCCAGCCGCCGCAGUAA